AGUAAUUUGAUUAAAGUUCCUUAAUUAACCUUUUUUUAAAAUAUAGUCAGAUAAGUGAAAUCUACUGUAUCUUCUUCUUUAGAUAAAAAAUAUACAUACCUUACUAAAUAAAAUACUUAGCAAGUGACCUUUUCAGUAGCAAUUGAAGAAGACCAAGAAAGCUCGCUUGCAUAAACAUUCUUAUAAAUUUAUUCUCUAUUUAAAAAAAAUAUUAUAAACAUACCAGAAAUUUUUCCUACUAUGUUUCAGAUUCCUAACCUAUUAUGACUUUUAAAGUGAUUCCUGCGAUUACUGAUUUUUAUAAAUGUGAAUGAAGAAUUCAAAUUGUUUGAUUAUAAAAGAGAAUAACAAGUUGAAAAAAAUUGAAAAGUAUUUUAUCACUCUAAAAUAUAUUUCCAUUAAAAAUAUCCAUAUUCGUCUGAAAUCACUGCAAAACAAAAGUUAAAGUAUCACCAAUUCCGAAGAGUCGUUUGACAAAAAGAAAUUAAAAAGAAAUUCGAAAAAAAAAUAUUGACAAGUUGAUCAGAAAAAUAAUAGUCUAUAAAUAGAAACUUGUGAGGUUAUGUUUACCUUCCCGAAUACCGAAUACCAAUGCGACGUGAAAGGAUCGAGGAUUAUACGAUAAAGCUAGUCACGGAUAUUUUUAAAUUUGUGUGACUUAAAUAUUAGAAGUUCCUUAAAACAAACGAUCUCGAGUAACAUUUUUUUGCACGAGUCUUUCAUGAGUGUUGAAAAAUCGUAUUCGUAACCACAAUGAUUCGGACCACCAUGUCUGUGGUGGAUGCCUUGUGAUGCCUCAACCUUGACCUGUAUUGAACUAGACCAAACCUUAAAGUAGGCUUUUAUGCACAUUUCGCAAUGUUGUUCCCAACACCAAUUUCACUUCGACCGUGACUCGAGUCGGAAAGCAAUGUGAUCCUAUACGAGCUAUGUAUCAUCAAUCGUCAAUGUGAACUAUGGAAGUAACAAUUAAUUUUAUUUUACUUUUUUAAA